rnacentral:lncRNA from 1 species
GAUACCAAGAAGGGACUCUUUAAAAAAAAAUUAAGCCUGAUUGUUCUUUUGUGCUUUUACUGUCACCAACACAACAGCAGUUGAUUCAGAAUGUGAACUAUAAGGCGGCAAGUGAAUCAGUUUGGGAACCAGAAGUUCUUGAUUUAUGUCCCAGCACUUUCUGCUGAAGAUAUGACCCAUGGUGAAAGGAGUACAGCACAGUUUAUUAAGCGUGGGCGGCUUUGUAAGCAGUGGAAAUACAUUCAAAUACUCCAGGUUCUUCAACUUCGUGACUCGGACUGGCUUCUUUGCUCUGAAGAUUGCAGACAGCCUAUUGUGGGAGCUCACCUUGUGAUUGUGUUAUGUUUAAUUUCUUCACACCACUCAAAACUCAGCUUCUGAUUUCAAGAGUUCAACAACAGCCCUGAAGGAUUCUGUCUGCUUUACAGCUAUAGGCAGCUUCUGAAAAGCCACUCUGCCCUAAGAAGUCAGCCUACAUAAUUGAAGACAAGUGAUGUAAAUAAUUUGCCCUGUAUGCUGGUCCCAUGUUCCUGGACUUCUCAGUCUCCCCCAGAACUGUAAAAAAUAAAUUUCCUUUCUUUAUAAAUUACCCAGUCUGUGGUAUUCUGUUAUAGUAAAGGAAAACAAGCUAAGGCAUUAUGUUAAAUCUUGUAAAAAGAACCUCUUUCCUAUGAUUAGAGCUCCUCUCAUAUGCAUAUAGAAAUCCAAUGUUGAAGCUAUCAUAAUUCUACUGAACCAUCAACUUCAACCCACCCAGGUAAGAUUAUGCCUUCUUGAAUAUAAGAGAAACUUCCCCAAUCCCUUACCCAACCAAAAGGAUGAAUCUUCGAGAAAAAUAUCAAAAAGCCCUGCUUCAAAUCAGUAAAUAUUUGGUGGUAGGUGAGUGGUGUUUUCAAAUAAUAAAUACAAUCAUUCACUCUCUGUUAUGACUUUUUGAAGAUAAUUCAUUUUUGUUUUUCUUCUCUUAAGGGCUGAUUUAAACUUUCACAAAUGUAACAUCAUAUUGAAUCACAUCACAUUGAAUUUGUAAUGAAAAAAUGUGUUCCCCAGACGUCUUAUGACCUCUGAAACUUGGAAACCAAGUUGGCAACUGAGGAAAAAACUAUUAUUUCCAUCAAAAACUAUGGCAACAAAAACAUGGUCAUGUUCAUUUUAAUUACUUCUGCCAUUUUACUUGUCCCUCUUUCUAGUUAUCUUUCUUAAGAAUAUUAAUCAGUCUAAAGAGAAUAAAUGAUUUAUUAUUUUCAGAGAGGUAGGUGUUUUGAACAGAUCUUAGAGCCAUGUGGGUCAGUGUUGUCAAUCCCAGAUUUAUCUGUUUAAAAUGCAUGCCUCAUGGACUUACACUUAUUAAUGUUAUAAUGUAGGUAAGAAUCUUACCCAGUGCUCAGUACAUACUAAGUUGUGGGUAAAACCUGCUUAUUACUAAUUAUUCAACAAUUCACAGAAAAAUGGAAAAUUCAGUUGUUCAAAUUAUCACCAAUAUGGGUGUUUUCUUUAUAAUGUGAUAAGAUUAUUUGAAUUUUAUGACACAUAUGCCAUGAAUUUAAGAUAAGUAUAAUAUGGUUGCUUUAAGUUUUUCUUUUUCAAUUACAAUAAUAAUAAUACAAACCUCCUUAGAUCUAUACACUUGAGAUAUUUAAAACACAAUGUGUAUGCAAAACAUCAUAACCUGGUUCCUCAAAUCAACAAGGGACUAUGAGUUUUAUUUGUAUGAGAGGUCUUGGACCUGUGGUAUUUUGUUUACUACUUAUCACUUUUGAUGGCCACCCAUUUGAAUAGAGAUCUAAUCUGGCUCUGGGGGCAGGGAAGAUCUUGGGACAGGAAAACUACCCCUUUCUUUAGGAGAUGGCCCAUUGAUCUUUGCUUUUAUCAGCUCCUGCAACUAUCAUUUGAAGGUAAAGAUCAAGUUAUUUACAAAUUGCUUUAGAUUGAAAGGCAUUAGACUAGGCAAGGUGAAAAUUAAGAGCUUGUGAAUACAUUGUAGGUGGAAAUAAUUUUUGGAAACGAUUUCCCAGUAUAUAUAAUACACAAUUUCUAAAAUGAACAAAAGUUUGAAAUAAGUUUUAAAUAAGAUGUUGAAAAGAUGUAAGCGUAGCUGCUUUAAUCUUAAUCAAUGCAACUUGUGAUGAGGUAAUGAAGAGCAGGCAAUCAGUCAGAACCCAAUCUACCCAAAUGAAAUCUCAAACAACAGAGGAUAUUUUUUACUUUAGUUUGUGUUAAGAGAGAUGGGCAAUGUAAGUGCUAUGCAGAUUUAAUGUGCUAAUGAAAUAAAUUCAUCAAGAUUUAAAUUAUGGAGGAAAUUAAAAUAAGAAACUGUUCUGUACACAAAAGAGACUAUGUCCCAAGAGAAUAUCCAGCCUUGGUAAAGAACAACCCUAAUGAAUUUUAGAAUAGAUUUACAAAAUAUUAUAUAUCACCUGUUUUUAAAGACUUUUUAUUCUUUAGUUUCCUUAGUCAGUCCCUAGAAUUUUUAUUUAGGAAAGACCCUAGAAAUAGAAAUCUGAAAUGCUCAGCCAACAAAAGCUUUGUGAAGUUGUUUGCCCAGCCAAUGUAUUGUUGGUGGUUAGAUCAUUAGUCUACUACUUCGAUUUUGGGUGCUCAGUGAAGUACCUGGAGGCAUUCAAGGGUGUGAGCACAGAUAAUUUAAGGGAAUUAAUUUCUAAUUUAAAUAAUUUCAUCUUUUAUGUUAAAUAUUUCCUAAGGCCAUUUGAUGGAGCUUCAAGUUCUAAUUUUCUUUUUUUUUUCUUUUGAGAUGGAGUGUUGCUCUGUCGCCCAGGCUGGAGUGCAGUGGCAUGAUCUCGGCUCACUGCAAGCUCCGCCUCCCAGGUUCAUGCCAUUCUCCUGCCUCAGCCUCUCAAGUAGCUGGGACUACAGGCACCCGCCACCACGCCUGGCUAAUUUUUUUUGUAUUUUUUAGUAAAGACGGGGUUUCACCAUGUUAGCCAGGAUGGUCUCGAUCUCCUGAUCUCGUGAUCUGCCCUUCCUCAGCCUCCCAAAGUGCUGGGAUCACAGGCGUGAGCCACCAUGCCCAGCCCAAGUUCUAAUUUUCUGCCAUGUUAUAAUAAACCUCUCCCAAUUUUUCAAAGUAAAAUAUCUGUUGCCCAGCACUAAACUAGCAGGGUGAUUGCCCCAGAAAAUUACAAAGAUCCUAGGCAUCACUACUGAGACCAAUCAAAAUGUUUUUAUAAUGAUUUUGAAAAAAUAAAGAAUUUUAAUGACAGGAUAAAAAAUAAAUACAUUUGAAAAUCAAAUGAUUCCAACUAUCAGUUUUCAACAAAACUAAAGAAUUUACCUACUUGGAUUGUUUGUUGAUAGGCCACUUAAAAAUAAUAUUUGCUGAAGAAUUAGAAUGAGACAUUUACAAACACCUGAAAAGAGUUGAAAGAAUUCAAUGUCAUUGCUAGAAUAGCACACUUAUCCUCAUCUAUUUGUUUAUGUGGACAAGUUAUUUCAAUACCUACAUCUAUAAAGAUGAGUGUAUUAGUUCAUUUUCAUAUUGCUGUUACAGACAUGCCCGAGACUGGACAAUUUACAAAAGAAAGAAGUUUAUCAGACUUACAGUUCUAUGUGGCUGAGGAAACCUCACAAACAUGGCGGAAGUUGAAAGGCACAUCUCACAUGGUGGUAGACAAGAGAAGAGAACUUGUGUAGGGAAACUCUGAUUUUUAAAACCAUCAGAUCUGGCGAGACUCAUUCACUAUCAAGAGAACAGUGCAGGAAAGACCCGCCCCCAUAAUUCAAUCACCUCUCACCAGGUUCCUCCCAUGACAUGUGGGAAGUACAAUUCAAGAUGAGAUUUGCUUGGGGGCACAGCCAAACCAUAUUAUUCCACCACUGGCCUCUUCUAAAUCUCAUGUCCUCAUAUUUCAAAAACCAAUCAUGCCUUCCCAAUAGUCCUCCAUAGUCUUAACUCAUUUCAGCAUUAACUCAAAAGUCUACAGUACAAGGUCUCUUCUGAGACAAGUCAAGUCCCUUCUGCCUAUAAGCAUGUAAAAUCAAAAGCAAGUUAGUUACAUCCUAGAUACAAUGUGGGUACAGGCACUGGGUAAAUACAGCCAUUCCAAAUGGGAGAAAUUGGCCAAAACAAAGGGGCUACAACCCCAUGUAAGUCUGAAAUCCAGCAGAGCAGUCAAAUCUUGAAGCUCCAAAAUGAUAUUUUGACUCAAUGUCUUACAUCUCAGUCAUGCUGAUGCAAAAGAUUGCUUCCUGUGGUCUUAGGCAGCCUCGCUCCUGGCUGUUUCCAUGGGCUUGUGUUGAGUGUCUGUGGCUUUUCCAGGCUCACAGUGCAAGCUGUCAGUGAAUCUACAAUUCUGGGUUCUGUAGAAUGAUGUCCCUCUUCUCACAGCUCCACUAGGUAGUGCCCCAGUAGGGACUCUCUGUGGGGACUCCAAACCCACAUUUCCCUUCCAUGCUGCCCUAGCAGAGGUUGUAUAUGAGAGCCCUGCCCCUGAAGCAAACUUCUGCCUGGGCAUCCACUCGUUUCCAUACAUCCUCUGAAAUGUAGGCGGAGGUUCCCAAACCCCAAUUCGUCACUUCUGUGUACCAGCAGGGUCAACACCAUAUAGAAGCUGCCAAGGCUUGGGGCUUGAAUCCUCUGAAACCAUAGCCCAAGCUCUAGGUGUACCCCUUUCAGCCAUGGCUGGAGUAGCUGGGAUGUAGGGCACCAAGUCCUGCGCAUAGCACUGGGACCCUGGGCCCGACCCACAUAACCACUUUUUCCUCCUAGACCUCCAGGCCUGUGAUGGGAGGGGCUUGUGAAGAGCUUUGAAAUGCUUUGGAGACAUUUUCCCUGUUGUCUUUGGGAUUAACAUUUGGCUCCUAGUUACUUAGGCAAAUUUCUGCAGCUGGCUUGAAUUUCUCCUUAGGAAAUGGGAUUUUCUUUUCUAACGCAUUGUCUGGCUGCAUAUUUUCUAAACUUUUAUGCUGUGCUUCCCUUUUAAAACUGAAUAGCUUCAACAGCACCCAAGUCACCUCUUGAGUGCUUUACUGCUUGGAAAUUUAUUCCACCAGAAACCCUAAAUCAUCUCUCUCAAGUUCAAAGUUCCACAAAUCUCUAGGGCAGAGGCAAAAUGCUGCCAGUCUAUUUGCUACAACAUAACAAGAGUCACCUUUGCUCCAGUUCCUAAAAAGUUCCUCAUUUUUAUCUGUGACCACCUCAGCCUAGACUUUAUUGCCCAUAUUUCUAUUAGCAUAUUGGUCAAAGGCAUUCAACCAGUCUCUAGGAGGUUCCAAACUUUCCAACAUUUUCCUGUCUUCUUCUGAGCCCUCCAAACUGUUCCAACCUCUGCUUGUUACCCAGUUCCAAAGUGGCUUCCACAAUUUCAGGUAUCGUUUCAUCAGUGCCCCACCCUACUGGUACCAAUUUACUGUAUUAGUCCAUUUUCAUGCCACUGAUAAAGACACACUUGAAACUGUGCAAUUUAAAAAUAAAGAGGUUUACUGGACUUACAGUUCCACAUGGCUAGGGAGACAUCACAAUUAUGACAGAAGGUAAAAGGUCCAUCUGACAUGGUGGCAGACAAGAGAAGAGAGCUUGUAUAGGGAAAUUCCCAUUUUUAAAACCAUCAGAUCUCGUGAGACUCAUUCAUUAUCAUGAGAACAGUGCAGGAAAGACCUGCCCCAUAAUUCAACCACCUCCUACUGGGUUCCUCCCAUGACACAUGAGAAUUGUGGGAGUUACAAUUCAAGAUUAGAUUUGAGUGAGCGCACAGCCAGACCAUGUCAAUGACCUAAAAAAUAGUAAGAAUAGAAUGUAUGGUAAACUCUGUCCCAUUGUAAUAAUAAAUUAAUCAUUAAUAUAAAUUACGUUCUCAUAGAGAGCUGUGUUUUCAAAAAUCACUUUAAUUUGUUAAAGUUGUUUAUGAAAACAUGAUAAGUUUACAUCAUUUAUAACAGGGACUAAUAAUUACUAGAAGAAUAACUUACUCUUGAUUUUUUUUAUUUACAGAU